rnacentral:rRNA from 1 species
UACGAGGGAUGCAAGCGUUAUCCGGAAUUAUUGGGCGUAAAGCGUUUGUAGGCGGGCGAGUGUGUUUAAUGUUAAAUCUUAAAGCUCAACUUUGAAAUUGCGUUAAAAACUGCUUGUCUCGAGUAUGGUAGGGGUAAAGGGAAUUCCCAGUGUAGCGGUGAAAUGUGUAGAUAUUGGGAAGAACACUAAACAGCGAAGGCACUUUACUAGGCUAAUACUGACGAUGAGAAACGAAAGGUAAGGUAGCGAAACGG